rnacentral:lncRNA from 1 species
AUGGAGAAGACAAAAAGCUGCGGAGGCAGACAUUUGCAGCAGCCAAGUGUUCGAGUGAGCAUGGUGACCACAAGAUUGUUCGCAGAUAAUGAUGUUCUUCUUGAUCAUGCACAAGGACUCACCUCUUUAACUCUUUAUCUUCCCAACACACACAGAAAUGCUCCCUUUAUCAGUGUUUAGACUUUGCAGUGCAGUUUUGUUUUAGUUCUAAGCUUAUAAUGAAUACAUUGUGACCUUCCAGCAACCCAUAUAUUGUAUA